rnacentral:rRNA from 1 species
UACGUAAGUGGCGAGCGUUUAUCCGGAAUUACUGGGCGUAAAGCGUUCGUAGGCGGUGCAGCAAGUUGGGUUUGAAAGCCGGGCUCAACCCCGGACCCGGAUCCAAAACUGCUGUACUUGAGCGUAUCAGGGGGCAGCGGAAUUCCCGGUGUAGCGGUAAUAUGCGUAGAUAUCGGGAGGAACACCAGUGGCGAAGGCGGCUGCCUGGGGUAUUGCUGACGCUGGAGGAACGAAGGCCAGGGGAGCGAACGGG